rnacentral:rRNA from 1 species
AACGAACGCUGGCGGCAUGCCUUACACAUGCAAGUCGAACGGUAACAGGUCUUCGGAUGCUGACGAGUGGCGAACGGGUGAGUAAUACAUCGGAACGUGCCCGAUCGUGGGGGAUAACGCAGCGAAAGCUGUGCUAAUACCGCAUACGAUCUACGGAUGAAAGCGGGGGAUCGCAAGACCUCGCGCGGACGGAGCGGCCGAUGGCAGAUUAGGUAGUUGGUGGGAUAAAAGCUUACCAAGCCGACGAUCUGUAGCUGGUCUGAGAGGACGACCAGCCACACUGGGACUGAGACACGGCCCAGACUCCUACGGGAGGCAGCAGUGGGGAAUUUUGGACAAUGGGCGCAAGCCUGAUCCAGCCAUGCCGCGUGCAGGAUGAAGGCCUUCGGGUUGUAAACUGCUUUUGUACGGAACGAAAAAGCUCUCUCUAAUACAGGGGGUGAAUGACGGUACCGUAAGAAUAAGCACCGGCUAACUACGUGCCAGCCGCCGCGGUAA